GACAGAGGGUGCAAACGUUGUUCGGAUUUACUGGGCGUAAAGCGCGUGUAGGCGGCUUGGCAAGUUGAAUGUGAAAGCCCACGGCUCAACCGUGGAAGCGCAUCCAAAACUGCUUCGCUGGAGUCUCGGAGAGGAAGGUGGAAUGCUUGGUGUAGAGGUGAAAUUCGUAGAUAUCAAGCAGAACACCUGCGGCGAAGGCGGCCUUCUGGACGAUGACUGACGCUGAGACGCGAAGCGUGGGAGCAAACAGG
rnacentral:rRNA from 1 species